AACGAACGCUGGCGGCAGGCCUAACACAUGCAAGUCGAGCGCCCCGCAAGGGGAGCGGCGGACGGGUGAGUAACGCGUGGGAACGUACCCUUUGCUACGGAAUAGCCUCGGGAAACUGGGAGUAAUACCGUAUGUGCCCUUCGGGGGAAAGAUUUAUCGGCAAAGGAUCGGCCCGCGUUGGAUUAGGUAGUUGGUGGGGUAAUGGCCUACCAAGCCGACGAUCCAUAGCUGGUUUGAGAGGAUGAUCAGCCACACUGGGACUGAGACACGGCCCAGACUCCUACGGGAGGCAGCAGUGGGGAAUCAUAGACAAUGGGCGCAAGCCUGAUCUAGCCAUGCCGCGUGGACGAUGAAGGCCUUAGGGUUGUAAAGUCCUUUCAGAUGGGAAGAUAAUGACGGUACCAUCAGAAGAAGCCCCGGCUAACUCCGUG
rnacentral:rRNA from 1 species